GGCUGGUCCGAAGGUAGUAACUUAUCUCAAUUGGUUGUUCAUAGCUACAGAUUGGACUCCUUGUUCGACUCUUUCUCCCUUUCUCACUACUGUACUUGACUAGUCUAAA
rnacentral:Y_RNA from 1 species